GACAGAGGGUGCAAACGUUGCUCGGAAUCACUGGGCGUAAAGGGCGUGUAGGCGGGAAGGCAAGUCAGAUGUGAAAGCCCUGGGCUCAACCCAGGAACUGCAUUUGAAACUCCCUUUCUUGAGUGUCGGAGAGGAAAGCGGAAUUCCUGGUGUAGAGGUGAAAUUCGUAGAUAUCGAGAGGAACAUCUGUGGCGAAGGCGGCCUUCUGGACGGUGACUGACGCUGAGACGCGAAAGCGUGGGGAGCAAACAGG
rnacentral:rRNA from 1 species